rnacentral:rRNA from 1 species
GGCGGCGUGCUUAACACAUGCAAGUCGAACGAGAAACGGUCUAGCUUGCUAGAUGCAGUCUAAGUGGCGCACGGGUCGAGUAAUAUAUAGGUAAUAUGCCUCUUACUAAGGGAUAACAGAUGGAAACGUCUGCUAAUACCUUAUAUGCCUUUAGGACUAAAGUCCGCAAGGGAAAGAUUUAUCGGUAAGAGAUUAGCCUGUACAGUAUCAGUUAGUUGGUGAGGUAAUGGCUCACCAAGACUAUGACACUUAACUGGUUUGAGAGGAUGAUCAGUCACACUGGAACUGAGACACGGUCCAGACUCCUACGGGAGGCAGCAGUGGGAAUAUUGCACAAUGGACGAAAGUCUGAUGCAGCAACGCCGCGUGGAGGAUGACACAUUUCGGUGCGUAAACUCCUUUUAUAUGAGAAGAUAAUGACGGUAUCAUAUGAAUAAGCACCGGCUAACUCCGUG